AGUCACGGAACUGGUUCCUGGACAGGUCGAUGGCCCGAAGGUGCAGCAAGGUCCUGACCUCGUCGGGCAGAUGAUGCAGAGUCAUGGCUCCUCACUGUUUAGAGGCACAGGAAACGCCAGGGUUUGCUUUCUUUCGAAUUCGUCGAAGCUUGAGGCUGGCCUCAUUUUCUUCCUACACCCCCGUCCCAAUCAUCAAGCCCGCUCAUCGACGAGACCGUGAGCCUGUUGUUGGUCAGGGACUGUCUCCACC